AUGACAAUUGUUUCAGAAACAACACCCUUUUCAGUACAUCAAUUCUGCUUUUUCUUGUCAAGAAACAACACCCUUUUCAGUACAUCAUCUGCAAAUUUGAUUCACUUAGUGUUACUCCUAACUGAAUUCCUUUGGCAUUGUGAAAGAAAGAGAACUCGAGCCAAGGUGAUGGUGAUGGAAAUGAAUGAAAAAAAGAGAAGCUGGAGUGCCUACCACAAAGAUGAGCAGAAGCAGGGGAGUUCGCUGGGAUGGAGGCGCUGGUGGCCUGGCCGUGGCCGUGGAGGAGGUGGGGGCGGAGGAGUUGAGCGAUGGCCAGGGCUAGGCGGGGCAGGAGAGGAGCGCUGGCCUGGAGGAGCCCGACGGAGAAGCAGGGGCGACGAGGGGCCUGGCGGAGGGCCAAAGAGGAGCGCUGGCCUGGAGGAGGGCCAAAGAGGAGCGCUGGCCUGGAGGAGCCCGGCGGAGGGGAAAGAGGAGCGCUGGCCUGGAGGAGCCCGGCGGAGGGGCGCUGGCCUGGAGGAGCCCGACGGAGGGGCCUGUUGCAGCGCUGCCUCGCGGAUGGAGGAGGAAGACGAUCUGUUUUCAAACUAG
rnacentral:rRNA from 1 species